rnacentral:rRNA from 1 species
UACGUAGGGGCGAGCGUUGUCCGGAUUUAUUGGGCGUAAAGAGCGUGUAGGCGGCCAGGUAGGUCUGCUGUGAAAACUCGAGGCUCAACCUCGAGACGUCGGCGGAAACCAUCUGGCUAGAGUCCGGAAGAGGAGAGUGGAAUUCCGUGGUGUAGCGGUGAAUGCGCAGAUAUACAGGAAGACACCCGUGGCGAAGGCGGCUCUCUGGACGGUACUGACGCUGAGACGCGAAGCGUGGGAGCGAACAGG